rnacentral:rRNA from 1 species
UACGUAUGGAGCGAGCGUUAUCCGGGUUUACUGGGUGUAAAGGGAGCGCAGGCGGUCUGGCAAGUCUGAUGUGAAAGGCCGGGGCUCAACUCCGGGACUGCAUUGGAAACUGUCAGACUGGAGUGUCGGAGAGGUAAGCGGAAUUCCUAGUGUAGCGGUGAAAUGCGUAGAUAUUAGGAGGAACACCAGUGGCGAAGGCGGCUUACUGGACGAUGACUGACGCUGAGGCUCGAAAGCGUGGGGAGCAAACAGG